AGACCCGAAACCCGGUGAUCUAGCCAUGGGCAGGUUGAAGGUUGGGUAACACUAACUGGAGGACCGAACCGACUAAUGUUGAAAAAUUAGCGGAUGACCUGUGGCUGGGGGUGAAAGGCCAAUCAAACCGGGAGAUAGCUGGUUCUCCCCGAAAGCUAUUUAGGUAGCGCCUCGUGAAUUCAUCUCCGGGGGUAGAGCACUGUUUCGGCUAGGGGGCCAUCCCGGCUUACCAACCCGAUGCAAACUGCGAAUACCGGAGAAUGUUAUCACGGGAGACACACGGCGGGUGCUAACGUCCGUCGUGAAGAGGGAAACAACCCAGACCGCCAGCUAAGGUCCCAAAGUCAUGGUUAAGUGGGAAACGAUGUGGGAAGGCCCAGACAGCCAGGAUGUUGGCUUAGAAGCAGCCAUCAUUUAAAGAAAGCGUAAUAGCUCACUGGUCGAGUCGGCCUGCGCGGAAGAUGUAACGGGGCUAAACCAUGCACCGAAGCUGCGGCAGCGACACUGUGUGUUGUUGGGUAGGGGAGCGUUCUGUAAGCCUGCGAAGGUGGCCUGUGAGGGUUGCUGGAGGUAUCAGAAGUGCGAAUGCUGACAUAAGUAACGAUAAAGCGGGUGAAAAGCCCGCUCGCCGGAAGACCAAGGGUUCCUGUCCAACGUUAAUCGGGGCAGGGUGAGUCGACCCCUAAGGCGAGGCCGAAAGGCGUAGUCGAUGGGAAACGGGUUAAUAUUCCCGUACUUGGUGUUACUGCGAAGGGGGGACGGAGAAGGCUAUGUUGGCCGGGCGACGGUUGUCCCGGUUUAAGCGUGUAGGUGUGUGUUCCAGGUAAAUCCGGUUCACUUUAACACUGAGGCGUGACGACGAGGCACUACGGUGCUGAAGCAACAAAUGCCCUGCUUCCAGGAAAAGCCUCUAAGCAUCAGGUAACAUCAAAUCGUACCCCAAACCGACACAGGUGGUCAGGUAGAGAAUACCAAGGCGCUUGAGAGAACUCGGGUGAAGGAACUAGGCAAAAUGGUGCCGUAACUUCGGGAGAAGGCACGCUGACACGUAGGUGAAGUGAUUUACUCAUGGAGCUGAAGUCAGUCGAAGAUACCAGCUGGCUGCAACUGUUUAUUAAAAACACAGCACUGUGCAAACACGAAAGUGGACGUAUACGGUGUGACGCCUGCCCGGUGCCGGAAGGUUAAUUGAUGGGGUCAGCGCAAGCGAAGCUCCUGAUCGAAGCCCCGGUAAACGGCGGCCGUAACUAUAACGGUCCUAAGGUAGCGAAAUUCCUUGUCGGGUAAGUUCCGACCUGCACGAAUGGCGUAAUGAUGGCCAGGCUGUCUCCACCCGAGACUCAGUGAAAUUGAACUCGCUGUGAAGAUGCAGUGUACCCGCGGCAAGACGGAAAGACCCCGUGAACCUUUACUAUAGCUUGACACUGAACAUUGAGCCUUGAUGUGUAGGAUAGGUGGGAGGCUUUGAAGUGUGGACGCCAGUCUGCAUGGAGCCGACCUUGAAAUACCACCCUUUAAUGUUUGAUGUUCUAACGUGGACCCGUUACCCGGGUUGCGGACAGUGUCUGGUGGGUAGUUUGACUGGGGCGGUCUCCUCCUAAAGAGUAACGGAGGAGCACGAAGGUUGGCUAAUCCUGGUCGGACAUCAGGAGGUUAGUGCAAUGGCAUAAGCCAGCUUGACUGCGAGCGUGACGGCGCGAGCAGGUGCGAAAGCAGGUCAUAGUGAUCCGGUGGUUCUGAAUGGAAGGGCCAUCGCUCAACGGAUAAAAGGUACUC
rnacentral:rRNA from 1 species